AUAAGGAAUACGUUGGCAAUUCGUUUAGUUUUGAGUGUUCAAGGAAUACUCAAGCACAAUGAAAACUGAAUAUAUAUAUUAGAUCAAAGAUAAUUUUCUAUAAGUAAAGAAACAGAUUUACAAAACCGAGAAAAAAGUAAGUAAGUUGAAAAACUUAUUCACAAGAGUUCAAGGAAGAAGAACGAAGCGUAAAAGCUACACACGA
rnacentral:misc_RNA from 1 species